CCAGACUCCUACGGGAGGCAGCAGUAGGGAAUCUUCCGCAAUGGGCGAAAGCCUGACGGAGCAACGCCGCGUGAGUGAUGAAGGUCUUCGGAUCGUAAAACUCUGUUAUUAGGGAAGAACAAACGUGUAAGUAACUGUGCACGUCUUGACGGUACCUAAUCAGAAAGCCACGGCUAACUACGUGCCAGCAGCCGCGGUAAUACGUAGGUGGCAAGCGUUAUCCGGAAUUAUUGGGCGUAAAGCGCGCGUAGGCGGUUUUUUAAGUCUGAUGUGAAAGCCCACGGCUCAACCGUGGAGGGUCAUUGGAAACUGGAAAACUUGAGUGCAGAAGAGGAAAGUGGAAUUCCAUGUGUAGCGGUGAAAUGCGCAGAGAUAUGGAGGAACACCAGUGGCGAAGGCGACUUUCUGGUCUGUAACUGACGCUGAUGUGCGAAAGCGUGGGGAUCAAACAGGAUUAGAUACCCUGGUAGUCCACGCCGUAAACGAUGAGUGCUAAGUGUUAGGGGGUUUCCGCCCCUUAGUGCUGCAGCUAACGCAUUAAGCACUCCGCCUGGGGAGUACGACCGCAAGGUUGAAACUCAAAGGAAUUGACGGGGGCCCGCACAAG
rnacentral:rRNA from 1 species